rnacentral:rRNA from 1 species
AGUCGUACGAGAACUCUUCUGCUUGCAGAAGAUAGUAAAGUGGCGCACGGGUGAGUAACGCGUGGGUAAUCUACCUCCGAAUUGGGGAUAACCCGCCGAAAGGCGAGCUAAUACCGGAUAAUAUCUUUAAAACUUCGGUUUUUAAGAUCAAAGGUGGUCUCUACAUGUAAGCUACUGUUUGGAGAUGAGCCCGCGUACCAUUAGCUUGUUGGUAGGGUAAUGGCCUACCAAGGCCGCGAUGGUUAGCUGGUCUGAGAGGAUGAUCAGCCACACUGGAACUGACACACGGUCCAGACUCCUACGGGAGGCAGCAGUGAGGAAUUUUGCGCAAUGGGGGAAACCCUGACGCAGCAACGCCGCGUGAGUGAUGAAGGCUUUCGGGUCGUAAAGCUCUGUCAAGUGGGAAGAACCUGCUAUAUAUUAAUACUGUAUAGCACUGACGGUACCACUAAAGGAAGCACCGGCUAACUCCGUGCCAGCAGCCGCGGUAAUACGGGGGGUGCAAGCGUUAUUCGGAAUUAUUGGGCGUAAAGGGCGCGUAGGCGGUCUCGAAAGUCAGAUGUGAAAGCCCGGGGCUUAACCCUGGAAGUGCAUUUGAAACUCAGGGACUUGAGUAUGGGAG